UACGUAGGGUUCAAGCGUUAUCCGGAAUCACUGGGAGUAAAGGGUGCGUAGGUGGCGUGUUAAGUGUAAUGCGAAAUCCUGUGGCUCAACCAUAUGGACUGUAUUGCAUACUGGCAUGCUAGAGGACGGCAGAGGCAAGUGGAAUUACCGGUGUAGCAGUGAAAUGCGUAGAGAUCGGUAGGAACACCAAUGGCGAAGGCAGCUUGCUGGGCCGACCCUGACGCUAAGGCACGAAAGCGUGGGGAGCGAACAGG
rnacentral:rRNA from 1 species